rnacentral:rRNA from 1 species
CGCUGGCGGCAUGCCUAACACAUGCAAGUCGAACGAAGGCUCCGGCCUUAGUGGCGCACGGGUGCGUAACGCGUGGGAACCUGCCCCUCGGUUCGGAAUAACAGUUAGAAAUGACUGCUAAUACCGGAUGAUGACUUCGGUCCAAAGAUUUAUCGCCGAGGGAUGGGCCCGCGUAGGAUUAGCUAGUUGGUGGGGUAAAGGCCAACCAAGGCGACGAUCCUUAGCUGGUCUGAGAGGAUGAUCAGCCACACUGGGACUGAGACACGGCCCAGACUCCUACGGGAGGCAGCAGUGGGGAAUAUUGGACAAUGGGCGAAAGCCUGAUCCAGCAAUGCCGCGUGAGUGAUGAAGGCCUUAGGGUUGUAAAGCUCUUUUACCAGGGAUGAUAAUGACAGUACCUGGAGAAUAAGCUCCGGCUAACUCCGUG